UCAGGUCCAUGAUUCGAACUCCCUCCAAGGGCGCGGCCAACUGCGCAGAAGAGCUGCAGAAUUGUCUGCGGAAGCAGGAGAUGAGUUUCGUGCCUUUUAACAUUUUCUCGGUUUUUUAUGCAAGAGACGCUUGAUGUGGACAGACUUGUCAAGUGCUAUUAUCGCUGGCUGAUAAGAGGGUUUAAUGCAAAUGACGGAAAACGAAAGGGAAUCGCGAUCGAGGCUCUCAAAAGAAGUGCCUUACCCUGGGCGGCUGCCCGUCUGUUUCUGUUUCAAGCACGGUUUCGGUGGCCGUGGCUCCGUUGUCGCACGUCUGCUCCGCCAUCGAGACACCUGCGGGUUAAUUAAGUUGCUUGCCAGGCAGAUCUUGAGAUAAGCCGAUUUCUUUUGAAAGGCACGCACGACCGCCGCAAUUAAUUGUUUACACUCCAAUCGAAACGAAAAACGAGAAAAACCAACGAUCGAGCUCCUUGUGGGGUAUGCAACUCGUAGUGCAGGGCACCGAGCGCUCUCAUUGGCUGAAAUUCUGCACCGCGGUUUGCUGAUUGGUCGGAAGUAAAUUGAGCUCGUCGAUUGGUUGAACUUGCAGAAAAUCUCUUUUAAUUUGUGGGCCGAGGACAAUUUAAAUUAUUUUCGCGCUAAAGUGAACAGCGCGAGAGGCACUGAACAUUGAAAUAAGUUGAUUCUGCAUUGGCUCAGGGAAGUCAAAAAUGCCCAGGAAUAUUAGAUAAAUUUAAAAAAUAAUAAUUUGAAUUUUGAAGGACAGAAAUUAAAAGUUGUCUUAUUGUUAUAAUUUUCGAAAUACUAGUUUUUUUUAUUAUUAUUAAUUUAUUCCAGGCAACAACUGCAUAAUUCUAAAUACACAUUUAUUUAUCCCAACUUGUGUGGAUAUUGUAAUAAAAAAUCUUAUUUAUUCAGUAGAUAUUUCUUGGUUGAGACGACAGCAUUAGCAGAAGAUGUGGGUGAGAGGAAAAAUUAGCAAAAUGCGCUGAUUUACAGUGAUAGGCGGAUUCCGAAUUAGUUUCCUUCUUUAUACAGACGUUGCAACAUGUUGAAGUCAAGUGCAAGCACCAAAGUUAUUUCAAGGGACUUUUUCGAAGAUUAUUUCCCUUCUUUGAAACGCUCUGUAGGUGCUCCAGGAAAAAGAAAGAGAGAAAUUCUUUGGCGUUUCUUCAUCGAAUUAUUGCGUGAUCCAAAUUUUAACCCACGUGUGAUCACGUGGGUGAGCUAUAAUGACGGAAUUUUCAAAAUAAUCGAUUUGCAACUCCUGGCCGAAGAAUGGAAAAACGCCGCACAAUCAGAAAUAAAAGACAGUAAAACAAAAACCACAAAAACAGCUAAUUGCGAGUAUUUCUUAAGAGGGACGAGAGGAUACUAUAAGUCUGGUCAUAUCGAAAAUUUGAGGAAAAGUCACGGAAAAGGCGUGUACAGGUUUGGCAUAAGUUGCAACCAGGAAUGGAAAAUAGUGCCACAAGAAGAGGAAGUGCUAUACAACAUUUGAAUGAAUUUAAACCCUUUAAUUUAUUUAAAAAAAAAUCCAUAACCCAAAUUUAACUUGCAAUAAUUUCCUGCAAAUACGUAUCAUGGAUUUACAUACAUUUCCAUUGAUAUAAUAUACAAAUUUUAUUGAUAUAAAAAGGCACGCAUCCAAAUGACUUUGUGAGUUUUGUGGCUUUGAAUAAACAUGUUAAAUAUAAUUUUUUUUAAUAAAAUAAUAAUUAAAAUUUUAAUUAAAAACUACUCAACAAAAAAAUUUUCGUAUAUAGGAGCCCAAUAAAAAAAUUCAAAAUAAAUAUUUUGUAAUUAGAACCUUAUCUCAUUAUAAAUAAAAAAAACCACAGUUCUCCCUACUUCCUAAUUUUACGCUCCGUGCAAGUUCCGACUUCCGUGCUUGUUGCACGCAAAUUCUUCAGUCAUUAAUAUAUUGUUACUUGGUUAGCCGGAGAAAUCAACUGUCAAAAAUUAUAGCACACUAACUAAGAAGGUUUUUCUCUCUUUCUUAUCUUUAAAUUUUUUACACCACUCUAGGAGGAAAUGGGGGAAGUGUGCUUCAUUUAGGGUCAAACAAAAUAUAUUACGAUAAGUGGAGCAGUUGAAUUUUCGCUAGUGAUAGCGAUUAAUAGUUUUUGGCGGUUCUUGGUAAAGGAAGCCCAUCAAUCAUAAAGAUGCUGAUAACCACAGCUAGUAUUAAGGAAAUUUCGCCACACCUGGUGGGACUUAACUUGCAAAAUCUGUCGAAUCAGUCAAAUGAUAAUUCUGAUAAUUGUGGUCCACAUAAACCUCACACAAGACGUAUAAUAUAAUCAAUUAAAUCCAAAACUUUCAACCUGCCAUUAAAUAAAAUUGAUUUUCAGUCAUUAUUUGGGAAUUUUUGCUCGACGCUCUGCGCCAACCGCGGUUGAACCCAAGCGCAAUUCAUUGGGUCAAUUUCGAGGUGGGCACUUUUAAAAUUGUGGACGGAGUAGGCAUGGCGCAAGAAUGGAAAUUGGCGAGAGGGAAAGGAGCAGAGACGGAGGACACGAAAAAGGCCGCUGACAACUUUUGCAGGUCGAUGAGAUAUCACUAUCAAACAGGAUGUCUGCACCGAGUAAGCGAGAAAAAAGUUUAUCGAUUUGGAGCAAAAACCGAGUGGCGCCGCGUCCAAGAAAUUCACAACAGCAUCGCACGCGCCGAAAAUAAUAUAUUUCAUUUUGGCGAUGAAAGCAGCAAGUAAACGAAUAAUUAACAAACCGUCCAGAAUAAAAACUAAUUUAGCAAUUUUCAACCAAAGCAAAAAUUUACAGAAAAAAUUAAUGGCGCUUUUUAAUUUAGUUUCUUAAGAUCACGUUAUUCGAUAUUAGUGGCGACAAAUGAAUAAAUUGCAUUUUUCUUAAAAAUAUCUUGUUUACCUGAAAAACCAAACGAAAAAUAAUUAAGUCUUCUCUUGACGAGCGCCGCGAAAGGUACGCUCAAAACACACGACCAAGAUUAUUUUGUAAAUUAAUUUGUUAAAAAUUUUGAAUUCAACUCUCAAAUUUUUUUGUUGAAAUUUGUUUUGUGUAAAUAAUUUUUCACUACAAAUUUUUUAACUAGAAAGGGAAAUAUUUUUAUAAAAUUGACUUUUAUACUAAUUCUCGUUAAAAAAACUCACAAAACCCAUCGAGGAAAAGCCGAAUUUCAAUUAAAAUCACCCAGGAAUCGAAACCCUCAAUCGUGAAACUCUACAACAAGAUUGCUUGUAUUUACAAAGAAAAAAUUUUUAGUAAAAAAAUAAAA